rfam:Aminobacterium colombiense DSM 12261, complete genome.
CAAUAAGCACCUGACAAACCAGAGACAGUGGGCGCGUUUAACGCCUAAUGAAUUCAUAUCACCCACCGAGGUUUGGAGAAAGACCCAUAGAGUAGCCGUAUAAGCUGCUUUCUUUGUGUACUUAUCUCCCGGCCUUGAUGGUUGGGAGAUUUUUUUUGGGAGGA